AAUAAAAACAUUUAGUGUGGAUGGUCGCAAUGUUUAGAUGCAAACAAAACAAUAUUAUUUAUAAAUGGAUUAUAUAUAUCAUCUAGGGAAAACAGUGUAAAAUGCGCUUAUUUUCGAGAUAGCACGCUUCCAUGCAGACUGUUUUUUUAAGCAGAAGUUUGGUUUCAUAAGAAACACAUGCGUGAGUCAACUCUUGGUCCAAACUCCAAUCCAGACGGUGGCGGUAAUGUUCCAAAAGCUGGUUGCCAACCGCUAUGAUGAUCACAAGAAGAAAAAGAAGUUUGGCGUUUCAAAACAGUGGAUUCCGGUCAGAAAGACACACAUGAGGAAGCUCGACUCAGCUUGGCUUGCAGACAGAUGAGGACGGUGAUUGCCUGUCAUACACCUAAAGAAAGAACAGGGGCAUUAAAGACACAACUAUAGUGAACGUGAUGAAGAAAAAUUAUUUGGAACAAAGAGGCUGGAAUGAAGAUUUCAGAAAUUGAUGCAGCACCGCAAGUACCAUCACCACCAAUGACUAUGGCAGGAUCCUUAAGAACACCAUCAAGAUGCACAGAUGCUGUACAUUCCAGUACACCUAUGAACAUUUACAGUCCUUGUUCAAGUGCAGUCGGAGAUCAAGACAACUUAUUGCAACUCGUCAUGUCUUUCACGACUGAAAAAAAAGUUUUAAAAUCAUGUGACGUCAUAAAGCA